AGCUUUGCAGGGUGGGCAGUCAGCCUGUGUGCAUAAGGACCAGCUGUGCAAACCCAUGCAAAACUG
ensembl:miRNA